rnacentral:rRNA from 1 species
CCUACGGGUGGCAGCAGUGGGGAAUAUUGGGCAAUGGGCGCAAGCCUGACCCAGCCACGCCGCGUGAAGGAAGACGGCUUUCGGGUUGUAAACUUCUUUUCUCAGGGACGAAGAAAGUGACGGUACCUGAAGAAUAAGCGACGGCUAACUACGUGCCAGCGGCCGCGGUAAUCCGUAGGUGGCAAGCGUUAUCCGGAUUUAUUGGGUGUAAAGGGCGUGUAGGUGGGAGCGUAAGUCAGAUGUGAAAUCGGAGGGCUCAACCCUGAGCCUGCAUUUGAUACUGUGUUUCGUGAGUGCAGGGGAGGCAAGCGGAAUUCGGGGUGGAGCGGUGAAAUGCGUAGAUAUACGGAGGAACACCAGUGGCGAAGGCGGAUUGCUGGACAGUAACUGACGCUGAUGCGCGAAAGCGUGGGGAGCAAACAGGAUUAGAUACCCCAGUAGUC